rnacentral:rRNA from 1 species
CAGCAGCCGCGGUAAUACGUAGGGUGCAAGCGUUGUCCGGAAUUAUUGGGCGUAAAGAGCUCGUAGGCGGUUUGUCGCGUCUGCUGUGAAAACGCGAGGCUCAACCUCGCGCCUGCAGUGGGUACGGGCAGACUAGAGUGUGGUAGGGGAGAUUGGAAUUCCUGGUGUAGCGGUGGAAUGCGCAGAUAUCAGGAGGAACACCAGUGGCGAAGGCGACUCUCUGGUCUGUAACCGACGCUGGGGAGCGAAAGCGUGGGGAGCGAACAGGAUUAGAUACCCCCGUAGUCCCUGUCUCUUAUAA